CUUGGAGCAGAGCAAAUCGGAAGGCAUACUAUCCGGAAGGUGGCACAGCAGAAUAUAGGUGUAUUGAAGGCUAUCGUUUUCAAGGGCAAUCCUUUGCCAAAUGUUCUGCAGGAAAAUGGACUUACCCACAAUGCAUAGAAGAUUCCUGAGGAUAAGACAGCUCUCAAUCAACAACUAUUCCCUGGGGACAAAUGAACCUAUUAUAAACACAGUUAAUACAUAAUAUGCAGGUUUCAUAUCUAGAAAAUGAGCUAUAACUUUUUCACAUCGGAAUUGCCUUGUUUGAAUAUUACACCUGGUUUGGGGUAUUAAAAUUCAAUUGACAAAAUAA